rnacentral:rRNA from 1 species
CUCUCGGGGUUACAGCCUUGCUGAAUUAUUCACCCUUGUCUUUUGCGUACUUCUUGUUUCCUUGGUGGGUUCGCCCACCACUAGGACAAACAUAAACCUUUUGUAAUUGCAAUCAGCGUCAGUAACAAAUUAAUAAUUACAACUUUCAACAACGGAUCUCUUGGUUCUGGCAUCGAUGAAGAACGCAGCGAAAUGCGAUAAGUAGUGUGAAUUGCAGAAUUCAGUGAAUCAUCGAAUCUUUGAACGCACAUUGCGCCCUUUGGUAUUCCAAAGGGCAUGCCUGUUCGAGCGUCAUUUGUACCCUCAAGCUUUGCUUGGUGUUGGGCGUCUUGUCUCUAGCUUUGCUGGAGACUCGCCUUAAAGUAAUUGGCAGCCGGCCUACUGGUUUCGGAGCGCAGCACAAGUCGCACUCUCUAUCAGCAAAGGUCUAGCAUCCAUUAAGCCUUUUUUUCAACUUUUGACCUCGGAUCAGGUAGGGAUACCCGCUGAACUUAAGCAUAUCAAUAAGCGGAGGASA